UAGGCUUGACAUGCAUAGGAAACCUGCCAGAGACGACAGCCAUGCAGCACCUGUGCACGGACUCCGAAGAGGGGCCGAUGUUUCCACCGGCUUUUCCCUACAUGUCAAGCCCAGGUAAGGUUCUUCGCGUUGCCUCGAAUUAAGCAACAUGCUCCGCUGCUUGUGCGGGCCCCCGUCAAUUCCUUUGAGUUUUAGCCUUGCGGCCGUACUCCCCAGGCGGGGCACUUAAUGCGUUAGCUACGGCACGGAAACCGUCGAUAGGUCCCCACACCUAGUGCCCAACGUUUACGGCGUGGACUAC
rnacentral:misc_RNA from 1 species